GCCGCAUGGCUUUUCCGCCAAAUGCGAAGGACAGGGAUGGGGAUGCGUUCCAUUAGGCAGCAGGCGGGGUAACGGCCCACCUGGCCGGCGAUGGAUAGGGGUUCUGAGAGGAAGGUCCCCCACACUGGAACUGAGACACGGUCCAGACUCCUACGGGAGGCAGCAGUGAGGAAUAUUGGUCAAUGGGCGGAAGCCUGAACCAGCCAAGUAGCGUGCGGGAUGAAGGCCCUACGGGUUGUAAACCGCUUUUGCGCGGGGAUAAAGAGAGGCACGUGUGCCUCGUUGCAGGUACCGCGCGAAUAAGGACCGGCUAAUUCCGUGCCAGCAGCCGCGGUAAUACGGAAGGUCCGGGCGUUAUCCGGAUUUAUUGGGUUUAAAGGGAGCGCAGGCGGGAUGUCAAGUCAGCCGUUAAACGGCCCGGCUCAACCGGGUCUUGCGGUUGAAACUGGCGUCCUUGGGUUCACAAAAGGCAGGCGGAACUCGUGGUGUAGCGGUGAAAUGCAUAGAUAUCACGAAGAACCCCGAUUGCGAAGGCAGCCUGCCGGGGUGCUACCGACGCUCAUGCUCGAAGGCGCGGGUA
rnacentral:rRNA from 1 species